UUGCCUCAGUAACGGCGAGUGAAGCGGCAACAGCUCAAAUUUUAAAGCUGGCGUCUUUGGCGCCCGCGUUGUAAUUUGGAGAGGCAUCUUCGGUUUGGGCGCCAGCCUAUGUUCCUUGGAACAGGACGUCACAGAGGGUGAGAAUCCCGUGCCUGGCUGGCUGUCCCUUUCCAUGUGAAGUGCCUUCGACGAGUCGAGUUGUUUGGGAAUGCAGCUCAAAAUGGGUGGUAAAUUUCAUCUAAAGCUAAAUAUUGGCGGGAGACCGAUAGCGCACAAGUAGAGUGAUCGAAAGAUGAAAAGCACUUUGAAAAUAGAGUUAAAAAGUACGUGAAAUUGUUGAAAGGGAAGCGCUUGAGACCAGACUCGGCCGGAGAUGAUCAGCCGUCCUUCUGGGCGGUGCACUCGUUUCCGGCCGGGCCAGCAUCGGUUGAGACGGCGGGAUAAAGGCCCGGGGAAUGUGGCUCCUUUCGGGGAGUGUUAUAGCCCCGGGCGCAAUGCCGCCAGCCUCGACCGAGGACCGCGCUUAAUUGCUAGGAUGCUGGCGUAAUGGUCUUCAGCGACCCGUCUUGAAACACGGACCAAGGAGUCUAACAUCUAUGCGAGUGUUUGGGUGUCAAACCCUUGCGCGUAAUGAAAGUGAACGGAGGUGGGAACCCCUCGCGGGGCGCACCAUCGACCGGUCCUGAUGUCUUCGGAUGGAUCUGAGUAGGAGCAUAGCUGUUGGGACCCGAAAGAUGGUGAACUAUGCCUGAAUAGGGUGAAGCCAGAGGAAACUCUGGUGGAGGCUCGCAGCGGUUCUGACGUGCAAAUCGAUCGUCAAAUUUGGGUAUAGGGGCGAAAGACUAAUCGAACCAUCUAGUAGCUGGUUCCUG
rnacentral:rRNA from 1 species